UGGAAUCUUGUAUGAAUGGUUGGACAAAGGAAAAACUGUCUUUAUAUAAAAAUUUGAAUUUUACUUUUAAGUGAGAAGGCUUAAAUGUUUUAGUGGGACGAUAAGACCCUAUAAAACUUUACAUUAUAGUUAUAUUUAGUUGAAUUUUAAUGAUAAAAAUUUAAUAUAACAAUUUGUUUUGUUGGGGAGACAGAGGUAAAAAUUAUAUUAACUACUUAAAAAAUAAACAUUAAUUAAUGGGAAAGAAUUAAUAGAUCCUAAGUAGAGAUUGGAAGAUUAAGUUACUUUAGGGAUAACAGUGUAAUUUUUUUUAAGAGUCCAUAUCGAAAAAAAAGUUUACAACCUCGAUGUUGAAUUAAAAUGUCUAUAUAACGCAGCUGUUAUAGCAGAGGGUCUGUUCGACCUUUAAUUUUUUACAUGA
rnacentral:rRNA from 1 species